rnacentral:rRNA from 1 species
AGAGUUUGAUCCUGGCUCAGGAUGAACGCUGGCGGUAUGCUUAACACAUGCAAGUCGAACGGAGACUUCGGUACUUAGUGGCGGACGGGUGAGUAACGCGUGAGAAUCUGCCUUCAGGUUCGGGACAACCACUGGAAACGGUGGCUAAUACCGAAUGUGCAGCAAUGUGAAAAAUUUAUUGCCUGAAGAUGAGCUCGCGUCUGAUUAGCUAGUAGGUGUGGUAAGAGCGCACCUAGGCGACGAUCAGUAGCUGGUCUGAGAGGAUGAUCAGCCACACUGGGACUGAGACACGGCCCAGACUCCUACGGGAGGCAGCAGUGGGGAAUUUUCCGCAAUGGGCGAAAGCCUGACGGAGCAAUACCGCGUGAGGGAGGAAGGCUCUUGGGUUGUAAACCUCUUUUCUCAAGGAAGAAAAAAAUGACGGUACUUGAGGAAUAAGCAUCGGCUAACUCCGUGCCAGCAGCCGCGGUAAUACGGAGGAUGCAAGCGUUAUCCGGAAUGAUUGGGCGUAAAGCGUCCGCAGGUGGCUAUGUAAGUCUGCUGUUAAAGAGUCUGGCUCAACCAGAUAAAGGCAGUGGAAACUACAUGGCUAGAGUGCGUUCGGGGCAGAGGGAAUUCCUGGUGUAGCGGUGAAAUGCGUAGAGAUCAGGAAGAACACCGGUGGCGAAAGNNCUCUGCUAGGCCGCAACUGACACUGAGGGACGAAAGCUAGGGGAGCGAAUGGGAUUAGAUACCCCAGUAGUCC